AAAAAACAACUACAAAAAACUCCAACCAAAAUUCCAACAAAAUAAAAAAAAAUCUAAAAAAAAAACUGUAAAAAAACUCCAACCAAAAAACAACAAUAAAAAACUCUAACAAAAAAUAUCAUAAAAGUUAAAAAAAAAUGAAAAAAGAAAAACCAAAAUAAAUAAAUAACCAUAAUUGAAAACCCAAACAAUGCAAAAAAAAAAAAAAAUCUUCAACAAAAACAUCUACAAACCCUAAAUGCAAAAAAUCUCAAUUAAAAAUAAGUGCAAAUAUCCC
rnacentral:lncRNA from 1 species